GCACCAAGGUUUGAAUCUAGUCAAAGGGAAUCAAGAAGAUGCUUUGUGGAGGCAAACAACCAAUGGGAGCUUCCUUGUGUGUGAUUGGCUAGUUCUGGUCUUGGACAGGCUGUCUCUUGCUGUAAAGAGAAGGGAGCCACGACCAUGAACCUGGACAGAUGCAUGGGAAGAUUAGGAGGAGCCUAAGGAGAGCCAAUCACAAGCAAGGAGCCAGCUUGCCUUGGUUUGAAUUAAAGUGAGCCAGCUUAGCUUAUCCAAUCAGCACACAUCACUCAGAUUACAACAAGACCAACUCAUCCUCACCAUCCAUUCCUCUUAAGUUAUUUCUAUCCAUUAGAUAUAGGUUUAUGAGUUUGCAAGAGUGUAAAACCUAUAUAAAGACCCUCAUGGGCGUUUGUAACUCUCUUAAGAGAGUAUGGGGGUUUUCCCCAUCUCCUUCAUAAAUAUAAAAGUGUGUUCUUGAUCAGAUUCCCUUAAUCUACCCCUUUCUUAGUCUCUAAUCUCUUAAUCUCUCUAAGUCUCUUUGUUUCUGAUUCAAGUUCAUACUAGUUUCAUCAGACCUCUUAUUCAACUAGUUCAAGACCUUAUUCUUUGCCUCUAAUGGCUUCUCAUACACAUACACAGCCAGAGCUCUCAAAUCUCAUAUGGUAUCAGAGCCAGGUUCAUCAGAACCUGAGCUGAACUUCCGCAAAUCCACAGCUCUCAUCUCAGCUCAAACCAAACCCUUGAAGACAUUACCAGCUGAGUUCAGUUCUUGAAGAAGAAAGAAGCUUGAAGCAUGGAGUGUUCUCCUUAUCUCUCAACCGUGCCUGUCUUUACCUGAUUGAGAGAGUCUCUUUGGAAGCAGAGGAGGAUGGAGAGGCGUCAUGAACCUCAAGCCAAAGCUCCUUGUCCAAGAGCUUAUCACAUCCGGAUACAAGAAAGAUGAAGCUAAGAGAAGCCGGUUUGAAGUAUGAAGAAAGAAGGGGUCUUUGGGUGUGAGAAACAAGAAGGAGGCCAUGGACUGAAGGAGAAGGAGUUGGGUGACGACCUAUACUCUUGAAUCCAGCCAUAUCAUGGCCAGAUUGCCUUUAGAGGCUUAAGGAACCAACCUGGUUCCUUGUGUAAGCGAUUCUUUAAAACCUUCUUGAUAUUGAGCUUGUGUUGUGUUGUUGCCUGGUUAUUGUGAUGUGUAAUGAUUGAAAACCCUGAGGAUAAUGUGUGAUUGCUAAAUAUAAUUAGUUGAAUCUGUCCCAGGAUGCUUUAAAGGCUUGUUUAGUGUUUAAAGAGUAAAAUGCUUGCUCCUGUUAAGUAAUGAGUUUGCUAAAGGUGAAAUGAUAUUGUUUGAAGCUCAUGAACUGAAAACAGAUUGAAAGUAAUGCAUUGUCUGAUGAUAAGUGAUGAUAGUAAUGCUUAGCCUAAGUUAUAAAUGAAUGUGUGAUGAAUUGUAUUGUUGCAUUCAUGAAUUAAAACUGAUUAAGGUUAGUGCAUACUGUCAAAUGGCUGUCUUACAUUGAAGCAUUAGAUUCAUGUCUAAAUGCUGAGUAAAGAAGCUUUAAAAAUUGCCUAAGUAGCUUGUAUUGAAUCUGUUAGGAUCAUGCUAGUGCUUAGAGAGUUUGCUUGCAAAGAUUAGAACUUGAAAAUGUCUAGUUUAAUCUGUUGCAUUGCUUAAAGACAUUGGUGUUCAAACUUGAUGAUGCAUCAAGGGUUGACCCAUUGCACUUGUGUCUUAUCUUUUCUGGAGUUUGAGUGAUGUUUCAGGUUCACAAGAGGUGUUCUUGGUUCACCAUCCAUCGGAGUUGAAAGAGGAAGACUUUGCCCAUUGUGUGGAGCAAUGGAGAGUUGAGAAAGAAGUGGUGAUGCGCCACUGGUGUGAAGUCUCACUGAAGCUCACUUGCAAGCUUGGACCUAUACUCAAUCCAAGCUUGAGGAGGGGAGUUUAGUGAGCUUCCAACCGAUCCAAGAAGUCCAUUGCAACCAUCUGAAGAAGGAGCCAUCCGGGCUUAGGCUGUGGCGAGUCUAUUCAAGAGAGUACUCAAACUAAGACAGAGUACUCUUGGCUGUGAGAAGAUGAAGGCAACUCUAUCAAGGCGGCUUCUAGUGUGAAGUGAUUGGAGAGAUAGCUGAAGCUUCCACAAGCAUUCCAUGAAGAUGGCAAGAUCAGAAGAGAAGCGGCAAUGGUGUGUGUGAGAGGAUCAUGAAGCAAUCCAUUCAAGCUUGUUCCUGUGAGAGUCUCAAGCUUGAGGGGGAGUGUUGAAGCUUACAUGACCCAAGAAUCUAAAUUUACCAUAAAUGCACAAUGUGCUUCUUGUUGAAGCUUACAUGACCCAAGAGAGCUUGGUGGUUAUUCUAGAAGAGGAAGCAACCUGUUGAGAAGUAUGAUGAAGGAUGAAGAAGCAAUGUCCAAGGCGGCGUCAAGUGUUGAGGUGAUUGGAGAGUGGCUGAAGCAUCCUCAUGUAGCUCAACAACAAGGUGGCGACUCUAGAAGAAGAAGAAGCAGCCAAGACUCAGUAAGAGAAGUUGUAUCUCCAAGAAGAGGCUGAUCUGGUGUGUCUGAGCACUUCAACCUAACAAGAGGUUAGGUGAAAGGGGGAGAGACCAAGAUUAGGCAGUAAGGAGAGUACAAGGCGUGGGAUGAUUGUAGAGGCCAUGAUCCAGAGUCUUUGUGUCCCUUACAUUGUUGGUAAGGCACAAGGACUCACUGGCCAAUCCCUAGGCCUUGGAGACUUUACUCUUUUUCCCUCAUCAAGGUUUUGUCCCAAAGGGUUUUCCUUGGUGAGGUUUUUAAUGAGGAAGUUCUUCAAGGUUCCAAGCUUGACUUAGGAUCAGCUAGAGUCAAGCUUGAGGGGGAGUGUUAACUUGAAGAGAAGAAGUGGAGAAGCAAAAGUGAUGAGUUGAGUUGGUGCUUGUGCAAAGACAUGGCAAGAUCUUCAGAGAUUGUAUGUUAAGGCUUUGGGAGAGUCUUAAGGCUUCAGAAGUGGUCUGAUGAGUGUGCAAAGAUAGGGUUAAGUCCAGGAGGGAUUUAGACACCAUUUAGAGAAGAUUUGGGUCAGACAGUAACUCCAAAGUUACCACAGUAACUUUGGAGAGUUAUCAUAGUAAGAUUGGAGAAGUUUGGGCAAGUUGGUGUAAAAGUGAAUAGUGAAUCACUAGUCACUAUUCAAGUUGACUAUCCACUAUUUGGGUCACUAUUCAGGAUGUGAAGAGUGUGCAUAGUAUAUGGAUAAGGCACCAAGGUUUGAAUCUAGUCAAAGGGAAUCAAGAAGAUGCUUUGUGGAGGCAAACAACCAAUGGGAGCUUCCUUGUGUGUGAUUGGCUAGUUCUGGUCUUGGACAUGCUGUCUCUUGCUGUAAAGAGAAGGGAGCCACGACCAUGAACCUGGACAGAUGCAUGGGAAGAUUAGGAGGAGCCUAAGGAGAGCCAAUCACAAGCAAGGAGCCAGCUUGCCUUGGUUUGAAUUAAAGUGAGCCAGCUUAGCUUAUCCAAUCAGCACACAUCACUCAGAUUACAACAAGACC
rnacentral:lncRNA from 1 species